rnacentral:rRNA from 1 species
GGGGGGGGGGGGGGGGGGGGGGGGCGGGGGCGGGGCGGGGGGGAGGGGGGAAGCGGGCUUUGCUGGUCUAGUGGCGGGCGGGUGAGUAACGCGUGAGCAAUCUGCCUUUCCGAGUGGGAUACCGAUUGGAAACGAUCGUUCAUACCGCAUCACAUCAUUGCACCGCAUGAUUUGAUUAUCAAAGAUGUAUCGCUGAAAGAUGAGCUCGCGUCUGAUUAGCUAUUUGGUAAGGUAACGGCUUACCAAGGCGACGAUCAGUAGCCGGACUGCGAGGUUGAUCGGCCACAUGGGGACUGAGACACGGCCCAGACUCCUACGGGAGGCAGCAGUGGGGAAUAUUGCACAAUGGAGGAAACUAUGAUGCAGCGAUGCCGCGUGAGGGAAGAAGGUUUUAGGAUUGUAAACCUCUGUCUUCAGGGACGAAAAAAGACGGUACCUGAGGAGGAAGCUCCGGCUAACUACGUG